UUCAUUUCUUUCAAGAACUAAAGAAAUUCGGAACCCAAGAGGGGUGAAACAUUUCAAAAAUUAUCUGGAAAAAGGAAGACAUGCAAUACUCAUUACCGUGGAGGUCCAAAGCCCAAAAUUUCAAUAAAAAACUACGAACUUUUGGUUUAAGCUAUGUCGCGAAAAUAACGUCCUAUGAUUUCCAUUGCCAACAGGAAAAAAUACUAGAGUUUACAAAACAAUAUACUAUAACAUUCUGGAAUCUAAAAAUUUGGUUUGAUGAAUCCAAAUUCGAGCUAAGACGUUCAAAACUACAAGUAAACAAAUGUGGUGUAAAUCUUCCGAUCGCUUAAAACCACAGUGCAUACAUACAUACAUGCAUCAAUUGAAGUAUGGAGGAGGUUCUCUCAUGGUAUGAGACUGUUUCUCAAAAUUUGGUGUAAGUAGUUUAGUUAAAAACGAUGGGUGCUUCAUAUGUUAACAUUCUUAAUAAUAACAUUCAACAACAAGUACGAAAAAAAUGAGUUUGGGGUCGUUAUCUUAUUGGAAUAUUUCGCACACAUCUCACCUGGCUAUUCGCUUUUUUGAAUAAAGCUUAAUCGAAAAACUGAAAUGGCCAGCUCAGUCACCGGAUAUAAAUCCAAUUGAGCAUUUAUGGUUAAUUUUUGAUUCCACAAUACCAAAAAGCAGCAGUACAAACUUGAAAUAAUUUUUCUUAGAGAUAAAGGUAUGAAAAUUUGGUUCGAGGCAUGCCAAACGUCUUCGUGCGGUAAUUCAGAACAAAUGUGUCUAUAUUAAUUACUAAAUAUACUAUUAAGUCAAACAUUUUGUAUUUUACUAAGUUUAUACUUUAAUUUGAUCACCUUUAUUUAAGAAUUCUUACAUUGAGGUGAAACAAAAUUUGUCUUUCUGUUUCUGGGAAAAGAUAUGUGUAUUAAUUUAUAAUUUGUUACUUAAAUACCUAUGCAAAUAUUAUAUUAUUGUAUAAAUUACUAAUUAUUUAUUUUAAUAAAUCUGCAUUGAAAUAACGUUUGAUGCCUAGUGUAUAUCUUAAAAGUAGUCUACUACAUAGAUUUUCCAUAUAAGAAAUUAUAGGCAAUUGCUGCACCUGUAUUGUAAAAAAUUAAACUACUAAAAACAAUAUUUCACUAUUUCACUCUACUAUUCUUCUACAGUAUUUUAAUUUUAGUGUAAAAGUAAAGCUUCCAUGUUAUGAACAACUGUUUAAAGUAUAGUUUGCUGAGUUCAUUUAAAGCUAAUAUGUGACCCAUAUAAAUUCUAAUAUUUAGACUCAUUUAUUAGAUAGAAUGCAACAAAUGUCGAGUCAUAUGCUUGCUACUCCAUAAAUGUUCUAAUACUCCAUAAAUAUUUCAUUAAUUUUUCCACCUUUUAUUGAAUUGUAGAUUCUCUAUGUUAAAAAAGCCAUAAGUAAGUACUCGUAUAUUAUUGGUAGUUGAAAAAGUUUUUUCAAAGUCGUUGCAGUCGUAUAUCUCCAGUGCUACCAAUCACAUUGUGUCAUACCAUAUAGUGUUGAGAAGGUGAGAUUUUAAGCUUCAUUUAGCAAAAAAAAAAUUCGGGGAAGUUGAAAAAAAAUUACAGCUGAAUAAAUGAAAAUGAAUGAAAAUAAUAAAGAAAUUCGCUAUAUUUUGAAAUUUUUGUAUAAAAAAGGGAAGAAUGAUACGUAAACCACCAAUGUGAAGUUUACGGAGAUGAUGCUGCAUCAGUACAACAAUGGUUCGCUCGCUUCCGUUCUGGAAAUUACGAAAUUUCGAUUUACACGGAAGGAAUAAUGCCUCUAGCGGCAAAAUGGCAAAAAGUGGUCGACCAAAUGGUAAGUAUUUGUUUAUUUAUUGAUUAUUAUAAAUCUAAAAAAAAGUUAAAAUUUGAUUAGAAAUACAAAAAGACUUUUCGACUACCCAAUAUAAUAUUUCAUUUACGUUCUGAAUAUAAACAUGGAUAAGUUUUGAACACCGCGAAAGCCGAGAUAUUUAUGUACAUAUAUUUCAACAUACCAACUAUUUUCACGCAAUUAUACGUGGAAAACUAACUCCCCCAUUAACAGAUAUGCAUAUACAGGGUAUAAACUCACUUACAUAGCUUAAUUUCGAUUAGUUUUACACGUGCCCGUUGUUGUAAUAAUUUGAUAACUUCUUACCACAAAAUAUCAUAUUUGCAUGUAAUUGAAUAGGAAUACAUAUAUCUUAUGAACAUAUAUGUAUGUAUAUAUAUAAAUGUUCUCAACAUUAGUCAUGAAAGCAUAAAUCUGUUUUUGAAUCUAUUCCGUAUUCUAUGGCGUUUUAAACCACUACAUUAUAAUCAAAUAAAUGUAAACAGUUAGUCAUAAUACCCAUCUUGUUAAAAUAACUUGACGUCUUGUUAAAAUAUAAUUCUGUCCAUAAAUGUUGUAUAGAUUUGUUAGAAGCUUUUCGGUGGCUGACUCACUUUAAAAAACAUUUAUUAACAGUAUUGUUAGAAAACAUGAUAUAUAGUUUUUAAUAAUAAUAAGAAAUAUAGUAAAAAUUGUAAAUUCUGAAACAUAUGCAAUUUUUUAUACUUCAUAUGUAACUUUUAUAUCUGAGGACUUAUUCCCACGGUUAGGCACAGGUUUAUUGCCCGAUCUAUGGUAAUAGUUAGACCACUGAAUGAAGUAAAAUUAAAUUAUUUAAAUACAAUUAUUUUAAAUAGCCACAUACGGAUUAAACUAUUUCAGUAGAAUAAGCUACUUUAGUUUCGAACGCUAUUGUACUUAUGUGCAAAUCAAAGAAUUAUAAGUCGACAAAACUUGUUUUGACUCAAUUUUAAGAGAAUAAUGUAUAUUAUUAUUAGCAGUGAGGUUGUUGCUAUUUAAGCUGAGUAAUAUAUAGUCACCUGAAAGCAAAACAACGAAUCAUCAAAAAAAUUAGAAAUUGAGUAUGUUAAAAGUUUUAAGUUUCUGCACAGAUCAGACAAAACCAAGUUAAUACCAAAGCUUAAAUUUCGUUUCAGUAAAACGCUUCCUAUUUUAUCUAAUCUUUUCUUCUCCUUUAAACUUAUGAAAAGUGAUGUUACGUUAUUUUGUAUAUUAAUUGACGAUAUUUACAAAUGUAUUAAUACAUAUGUACAUACAUUACUCAUCACUGAGUAACUAAAAAUCAAAAUUCUGGUUUUGGCGCGAAUUCUCGAUUUGUAAUGAAUGACAUGGGAAAUUCCUUUAACGUUUGCUAAAUUUAUCUAAAUAAGUGUGUAAGUAUUGUUAUUUUAUAAAUUUAUUAUCUUUCGAUAUAAAUAUGCGAAUUGAUCAGGUUAAGGCGGGAAUUCCUGGAUAGAAAUGUUCAAUCUAAUAGUAAUAAUGCCUGAAUGUUUGUGGAUAUAAAUGACUAUUUGAAUUUAGAUUCAAAAACAAUUAUACUCACCAUUGGUUCCCACUUCCGUAUCACAGGAGACAAUCAAUUAAUCAAGAAAACACCGCAAACUAUCAAGAUUUAAACACACAAUAAACAUUAUUAAAAUUGUAAAUAUAUAUGUACUUACGUUCAUAAAUACAUACAUAUAUAAUAUUAAACAAUAAACAAUAGUAUACAUGAAAGUAAAUAACAAUUGUUUAAUAUCGUUUGUAUGAAAUAUGUAGUGAUGUAGUAUGUAGUUUUUGUAACCGAGCGAAUUGCGUAGACGAGUACAUGAAAGUCCAGUGGAAGUAGCUUUGGUCACUAGAUGAGAUGCCAGAUAAAAUUGUAUAUACAUAUGUAUGUAUAUAUUUAUUAACGAUGAGUUGUUUAUAUUGACGUAGAAUUAGAAUAUGUGUCUGAGCAAGAAACCGGCACUAUUCUCUUGAAAUUUUGACACUGGUCGACAGAUGAGACGGAUGAUGAUGCUGUAUGAUUAGCUGGGAGAAUCUUCAUUUAAAACAAGUUAUUUUGCAUAUUCACAUUUUGUGAGUUUUAUAGAAUUUGUAAAAUGUUUUUACGUUUUAUCUCAAUUUUCUUAUCUUCAAUAUAAGAAGCGAUCAAUUUUAAGAUUUCACACUAUUCGCGAAAUAACUACAGUUGUGUAAAGUAGUAAAGACAAUACGAUACAAGUAUUUUAUUUUAUAUAUUCAAAUAGGUUUACGCAGCAAAUAGCGAGAUGAAAUUAAGAACCUUUACCGUUUUCUUGUUGGCACUAGCAACCCCAAUUCUUGCUGAAAAUAUCUUCAAGAUUAAUAUUUCACCAGAGGAAGCCCAACAAUUUCUGAACAGUGCAAAUCUUCGAGGUCUAGACAAUAUUGACUAUGCUCCUAAGACAAGUGAAAACGAGCU